GAUGAACGCUGGCGGCGUGCCUAAUACAUGCAAGUCGAGCGAACAGAUAAGGAGCUUGCUCCUUUGACGUUAGCGGCGGACGGGUGAGUAACACGUGGGUAACCUACCUAUAAGACUGGGAUAACUUCGGGAAACCGGAGCUAAUACCGGAUAACAUUUGGAACCGCAUGGUUCUAAAGUGAAAGAUGGUUUUGCUAUCACUUAUAGAUGGACCCGCGCCGUAUUAGCUAGUUGGUAAGGUAACGGCUUACCAAGGCGACGAUACGUAGCCGACCUGAGAGGGUGAUCGGCCACACUGGAACUGAGACACGGUCCAGACUCCUACGGAAGGCAGCAGUAGGGAAUCUUCCGCAAUAGGCGAAAGCCUGACGGAGCAACGCCGCGUGAGUGAUGAAGGGUUUCGGCUCGUAAAACUCUGUUAUUAGGGAAGAACAAAUGUGUAAGUAACUGUGCACGUCUUGACGGUACCUAAUCAGAAAGCCACGGCUAACUACGUG
rnacentral:rRNA from 1 species